UAUCAUCUUAGUUCUGAGACGGCACAGACCCUGCUCUGCCUUCGUCACGCAGAGAGAAACGGCUGGCAGCAGCAGACGGUUACCUUUGCAUGAGGCUGCCAGGAACAAACAAGCAGUGAGUGGAGCAAUUCCGAAUGGGGAUCAUUUCUCUCAGUGGGAAAAAAGAAACUAUUUUGACCAAAUGGAGAACAAGUUUUCAUGAACUGAUGAUGUCAACUCUUUAAACAUCUGGAAACCUGUGCAUCUCUGAACAAGUAAAGCAUGGACCAUUCUCAGAAGUCUCCUCUAAGAUCAGUAGAUGAGUUACGACUGGAGUCCUGUUCCUUAGUGAAUCUACCUUCAUACUUGACAUCUGGCUCAGGAAGCAAGUGUAAAAAGUUCCGAAGGACAAUAAAGUAUGUCACAAAGUUGCCAAUUUGUCAAAAUUUUGUGGACUCUCCUCUUAUGUCAGUUUAUGUUAUUAGGCAUUGUAAGUACAAUUCUGUAAUACUGUUUUGAACUUUAGCAUAUCUUAAUAAAAUGUUUUAGCAUAAUUAACAUAUUCUUGAGACAGAAAAUUUGCUAUUGUGUUUAGUCACCCUCAUCACUCUCCUUGGCAAUUUGUGCUCUAUCACAGAAACAAAUUCUAUUUUCCUGAUUGAUGUGCACUUAGUGGUUUCAAGCCUGUCCCCAUGCAAGCCCAAGUGGAUGGAAUGUCUUUGUGAGGCAUAGGAAAGGGUGGAUGCAUUGGAAAUUAACACCCCAACCAAGAUGCUGUAAUCUUAUCUUGGAGACCAGUGUGAGGACACAGUAAUUACAGCCUUUGUGUUAUUGUAACAGUGGAGGAGGUUGGAAUCGGGAGUAGAGGCAGAGGAAACACUGGGCAGUGGGCAUAAGAAGUUAAGAACUGUAGUAAGUGACAGAAAUCCAUUUCAGUCUGGUUUAAUUCCCUUGAAACUGACAUGAGAUGACUGUUGACUCAUUUGAGAUGGUGUCUUAUGUAGCCCAGGCUUACCUCAAAUUUAUUGUGUAUCAAAUCACACUGAUGUUGAAAGCACAAGGCAGCUUGUGAACAAUCUUACCACACCCAAACAUGGAAACAAGUCCAUAGUACCUAAAACAAAACAUUGAUAAUACUUAAUAUUAUAUACCAAAGUUUAAAUUAUCAGUGAAUCCAUACACAUAAAAAUAACUCACUCAAGAAAUAAGAACACACAUAAUAAAAAAAGAUGAACAUCUCCCAUAUGAGAAUUUUGAAUGCAUGCCCACAUUUCAUCCAAAAGAAU